GAUAUACUCAGAUUCAGCGGCUGCUCUGUUGGCUGUCCAGCAUGGGACAUCUAGGGCUCAUCCUGACCUGCUGUGGGAGAUCCUGUGCUGCCUCUUAAGGGUUGAGAAAUCAGGGCGCUCCGUUGAGUUUAUGUGGGUGGCCUGGUCAUUCGGGGGUAGAAGGUAAUGAAUACAGCGGACAGAUUAGCGAAAGAGUCUCCACUCAGUGGAGUUUGAGAUCUUGAUGGGAAGAUGCGAGUGGUACAGCAUUUGUAAGGAAAAAUUAGAGCAACAGUUGGCAGAAAGAAUGGACAGAAGAAAAAAGAGGAAGGGAGUAUUUCUCUGUGCAGCCGUCAAUUAAAAGGAAAAGGAUGGGUUAAAGACUGGGUGGAGGGACGAGGUGGUCCUAACCAGGCUUAAACUGGGGCACUGUGGGCUGGCCCAGUACCUUUUUAAAGUCAUAGGGAAACAUCCGGAUGGGUUAUGUCAGUGCGGGAUGCCUGAAACAGUUCAGCAUGUACUUUUCUCUCGUAGAAGGUAUGGGCAUGAAAGGCGGAUAUUGUACAAAGAAUUGUCGGAUCUGGGGUAUCGCUCUUUUUCCUGUAUGACUAUCUUACCGCUGAUGCGCAGUCUCCACUAAUUUGUCGGGCCUAUAAGUAGGUAAUAAAACCUAGCCUAUGGAGGGCAGCAUUACACUCCCAGUGUACAGCCUGCGGGAAUUUCAUUCGAAGAAGAACUCGGAGCCGGACCGUUGUAUAACACAAUCCCUGACCAACUCUGCCUGCUCUGUGUGCAUCUUCACCUGAUCCUGCAACACUCGGAAUUACUCCAGCCACGCUCCACACCUCCUCAGCCUGCCUUCCCUCAAACUCUCCCCUGUUUUCGAACUGUCAGCCCAGGUUGCCUAUUUUCUCUCUGGGUCAGCUUAGUUGUGAGUUUAGGUCUUUGUAGUGUUUGUAUAGUUAUCGUGUUGGGUUAUUUAGUCUUUGGUAGACUUUCCGUACUUACCAUAGGUCGUUUUCUUCCUAGAGAGUUUUUAGUUGUUUUGCCCUGCAGCCUCAGUUACCAUUUUCUACUGCCAGUGCUUUACUGUGAUCUUUUGUUGUUUAUUAAAAUCUUUGUGUA